rnacentral:rRNA from 1 species
UACGUAGGGUCCGAGCGUUGUCCGGAAUUACUGGGCGUAAAGAGCUCGUAGGUGGUUUGUCGCGUUGUUCGUGAAAACUCACAGCUUAACUGUGGGCGUGCGGGCGGAUACGGGCAGACUGGAGUACGUGCAGGGGAGACUGGGAAUUCCUGGUGUAGCGGUGGAAUGCGCAGAUAGUCAGGAGGAACACCGGUGGCGAAGGCGGGUCUCUGGGCAGUAACUGACGCUGGAGGAGCGAAAGCCGUGGGGAGCGAACAGG